AGAGUUUGAUCCUGGCUCAGAUUGAACGCUGGCGGCAGGCCUAACACAUGCAAGUCGAACGGUAACAGGAAGCAGCUUGCUGCUUUGCUGACGAGUGGCGGACGGGUGAGUAAUGUCUGGGAAACUGCCUGAUGGAGGGGGAUAACUACUGGAAACGGUAGCUAAUACCGCAUAACGUCGCAAGACCAAAGAGGGGGACCUUAGGGCCUCUUGCCAUCGGAUGUGCCCAGAUGGGAUUAGCUAGUAGGUGGGGUAACGGCUCACCUAGGCGACGAUCCCUAGCUGGUCUGAGAGGAUGACCAGCCACACUGGAACUGAGACACGGUCCAGACUCCUACGGGAGGCAGCAGUGGGGAAUAUUGCACAAUGGGCGCAAGCCUGAUGCAGCCAUGCCGCGUGUAUGAAGAAGGCCUUCGGGUUGUAAAGUACUUUCAGCGGGGAGGAAGGGAGUAAAGUUAAUACCUUUGCUCAUUGACGUUACCCGCAGAAGAAGCACCGGCUAACUCCGUGCCAGCAGCCGCGGUAAUACGGAGGGUGCAAGCGUUAAUCGGAAUUACUGGGCGUAAAGCGCACGCAGGCGGUUUGUUAAGUCAGAUGUGAAAUCCCCGGGCUCAACCUGGGAACUGCAUCUGAUACUGGCAAGCUUGAGUCUCGUAGAGGGGGGGUAGAAUUUCCAGGUGUAGCGGUGAAAUGCGUAGAGAUCUGGAGGAAUACCGGGUGGCGAAGGCGGCCCCCUGGACGAAGACUGACGCUCAGGUGCGAAAGCGUGGGGAGCAAACAGG
rnacentral:rRNA from 1 species